AAGUCGUAACAAGGUUUCCGUAGGUGAACCUGCGGAAGGAUCAUCAAUGAUGCGAUACUUUGACUUUUUUUAGGGUCAAAUGCGCAAAAGAGGCAUUGAAUUUUCAUUCAUGGCUCAUCGAGAACAUAUACAACAACACAAUUCAGGUCCAAGUUUGGUGGCAUCUUGCCUGAAAGUUUUGAUUUUUAACAAAAACCAACCAAAGCAAAACAACUUUCGGCAACGGAUCUCUCGGCUCUCC
rnacentral:misc_RNA from 1 species